CUUCUUCCUACCCCCGACUCUCUCUCUCUCGUGCGCGAGCUGCCAUUAAUUUUAGGGCUUAGUUGAAGAUCUGAAACAGGUAAGAGUCUAGAUUUCAUCAAUUUUAACCUUAGUGAUUUCCUAAUUAGGGAUUUACAAUGUUGAAACCCUAAUUAGGUAUUUACUAUGUUGAAACCCUAAUUAGGGAUUUACUAUGUUGAAACCCUAAUUAGGGAUUUUCUGGUUUUUGGAGUCAAGGAAUGGUCAAAUUAGGGUUUUGAAGAGCUACAUUCUUGUGGGCUUGAAUUCUGGGUUUUGGUGGUUUUAGGGUAUUUGCUUAGCAGCUGUGGCAUGGGGAAAUCUCCAGGAAAAUGGAUCAAGACUAUUCUGUUCGGGAAGAAAUCUUCCAGAUAUGGAGCAUUAAAAGGAAGAGAGGCUUUGGUGAGUUUUAUCUGCCUUGGCAUCACAAACGAAUCUGGUUAUCAAUUGUCAAGCCUUAUUUGUAACUGUUUGUCAUUCAGAUCUUUUGAGGGAGAUGUUUGUGAACCAAAGGGAAUGAACUUUAUGCUUUGGAUUUUGCCAUGGAAGGUGGCAGUGAUCCGGAAGGGAGUCAGUUUCUGAGGAGUUGAGGCUAGGGGCUUUUUAUUUGGCCCUCCAAUUGUGUUAGUGAUUGGUGCAAAGUUUGUUCCCUAAAGAAAAUCAAGAAAAUUGCCAGGUAUUAUUCAUCAAUCUCUUCCAUAAAUAAUUGAUCUUGCUUAAUUUAUAUUUUUUUCACUUAAUUUAUAUGCUUUCCUAGAGGCCCAACUUGUAACUCCUCAGAACCCGCUCUGCCAUAAGAUAUUAU